GAUGAACGCUGGCAGCGUGCCUAAUACAUGCAAGUCGAGCGAACAGACGAGGAGCUUGCUCCUCUGACGUUAGCGGCGGACGGGUGAGUAACACGUGGAUAACCUACCUAUAAGACUGGGAUAACUUCGGGAAACCGGAGCUAAUACCGGAUAAUAUGUUGAACCGCAUGGUUCAAUAGUGAAAGACGGUUUUGCUGUCACUUAUAGAUGGAUCCGCGCCGCAUUAGCUAGUUGGUAAGGUAACGGCUUACCAAGGCAACGAUGCGUAGCCGACCUGAGAGGGUGAUCGGCCACACUGGAACUGAGACACGGUCCAGACUCCUACGGGAGGCAGCAGUAGGGAAUCUUCCGCAAUGGGCGAAAGCCUGACGGAGCAACGCCGCGUGAGUGAUGAAGGUCUUCGGAUCGUAAAACUCUGUUAUUAGGGAAGAACAAAUGUGUAAGUAACUAUGCACGUCUUGACGGUACCUAAUCAGAAAGCCACGGCUAACUACGUG
rnacentral:rRNA from 1 species